CUACCACUAAUUGUUUUAAAUAAUUUUGUUCCUACAAUAUAUUUUGUUGGAAUUAGUGUCGAUAGCAAGUAUCAAGAAACGGCUUUUUAAUUCAACGUUGAAGAAAUUCAUAACCUGUGGCACUUUUGACAGCCGCCAUGUUUUCUCCAUAAAAACAUUGAUUUUCUUUGCUCAUUUUCGUGUCAACGUAGUUUUUUUGGAAAAUAAAGGAAGGAAAUAAAGAAAGGAAAGGAAAGGAAGUUUGACUUACUUAGAGAAAUACGACUGAGACAUAAACACAAGCAGCAGCCGAUGUGCUUGAGUUGCAGAAGUAGCAACUGCGUUGUGAGAGCGCCACGGCUUCAGCCCUCACAAUGAUAGCUGAUUAGCUAAAGCAAUGAACAGACAGGCUGCAGUCAACGAGAGGUUUCUUGAGGAGGGGUUCCUCAUAUGGAAAAAGGCUAAUGAAAGGAACAAUCAAGACUGGCGGUGCGUGGGAGGAUCCCGUCCCUACGCAUGCGCCUGGCCUUCAAUGGCCUCACGCCUGUAUUCUUCCUCUUCUUCAUGCGUCAAUUCAAACAGAGGAGCACCUGUGAUUACUGAUUACCUAAGUUCCUAUAUACAAUAAUGGUUUAAUAAUUGUUAACAAAAUAUUGUAUUAUAUAAGUAUUAAUAAUUAUACACAAGGCUAAAAGCAUUUUGUAACAGUCAACCUAUAGGAGAGAAUAUGAGAAAAAAUAAGACUUAUCUUUGAUUGCCAUUAUCUGUAGCUUUAUUAAGUGGUAAAGGGACCUAAUUACUACCUAUAUUUUUUAGUAUUUGUGAUAAUUCAUAGAAUUUAUUAGUUCUAUCAAUAAAUAAAAUAUACAUGCAUUACAAUGUGUUUAAUUCAUUAGCUUACCAGGCCAAAACCCACACCAAUCAAAUAAAUAUCACUAAUACAAGCUUACUAUAAAGGAAAAUUACGAAUUCGGUAAAGAUGGAAACGUAUCUCGUAGGGACGGCUGUCCGGCUGAAAAAUGGCUUGAAGAUCUUGGAGAGAUGCGUACAAGGUCAAUUUCACUUUUAGCAGGAUUUUCUGAAAACGAUCUAACAAUUUCACCCUUUUCUUCGAAAGUUUAAAAUCGCUAAAACGUCAAAAUAUGACAGAUAAGCGAUAUCAAAAAGUUCAACAAAAAUGACAUGAAUCGCGUCAUUCUCCAUUCCGUUCAUUCAUUUUGCGAUCUCGAAACGAUCUUACUAUGUAGCUUGUUUUUAGUGCCAUGUGAAUCGCAAUUUCAUAGCUCGUUCGUAAAAAUCUGAAAACGAGAUGAAAACGAAGUUGUUUUUUGUGACACGAAUCACCCUCCUGUAUCCUGCAUUU